UUGGAGGAUACAUCGUACGGUAACACAUACAUAAUAUACAAGAUCCUGUAUACAGAAAAUAUAUCUCAGAUUUCUGCUCUUUAGAUCGUGCGGGCGGGGGUGGCGCAAGGCGUUUUCUAUGGGUAUACACAGCGCACAGCUACCGUUAUACCUGUACGAGAAAACGUGGAUUACAGUACACGUAAACGUAUUUUGUUACUUCGUUGAAAAGGUCUGCGGCGCGGCGGCGGCGGCGGCGGCGGCGGCGGCGAUACGUGUUAAGUUUUUCGUUGUUCAGGUGUGCGCGAGGUAUCGAGAUGUGUUUCACGUAUUCAAUAUAGGAGCUUGUUCUGCCCGCCAUUGACGUAUCGAGCAUUUAUUAUACACAAUGCAGCGUUCAACGGCGAAUAAGAGCAGCUCCAAAGGGAGGAUUUCGAGUCCACCACAAACCCGAGUCUGGUUACGCCUAUACGACAACGACAAACACUCCUCUGCUUCGGUGACGACGCCACGCCUUGGUUUCGGCACGAUUUCCAUAGAUCCUCUCGCUUCAAUCUCGGCACGUUCGAGAUGCUACCUAGUGGAAGGUCAGCGGGGUUCAUCGUAUGAGGCGUAGCGCUGGCCGUACGGGGGCUCGAGGAAACUACCCGCUUUACGGAUCCGAUGAUUUUCAUUACUACCGUGAAAAUUUGUAGAACUUGAUCAGCGAUUCACAAUGAAAAAAUUCAAUUGUGAAAUAUUGAGAAUUUUCUUAUAUCAUGGAUCAGUUUUCGGUACGUUUUUGAAAAUAUCAUCAUUGUUUUUGAAGAUACGAGGCGUGAAGGCUAAGAGAAACUUUACGAACACAAACUGUAAUUAAUAUGGUUUA